GACGUACGCUGGCGGCGUGCCUAAUACAUGCAAGUAGAACGCAGUUGCGAACGGGUGAGUAAAGCGUAGGUAACUGCCUCAUAGCGGGGGAUAACUAUUGGAAACGAUAGCUAAUACCGCAUACUGUGAGAUGGACCUGCGUUGUAUUAGCUAGUUGGUGAGGUAAAGGCUCACCAAGGCGACGAUACAUAGCCGACCUGAGAGUGGGAUAGGUCACACUGUGAUUGAGACAUGGCCCAGACUCCUACGGGAGUCAGCAGUAGGGAAUCAUCUGCAAUGGACGGAAGUCUGACCGAGAACAGCCGCGCGAGGGCAUAAGGUUUGCGGAUCGUAAAGCUCUGUUGUUAGAGAAGCGGGAACUAACCAGAAAGGUAUGGCUAACUACGUGCCAGCAGCCGCGGUAAUA
rnacentral:rRNA from 1 species